rnacentral:rRNA from 1 species
UAGCGGAGGGGGCUAGCGUUGUUCGGAAUUAGCUGGGCGUAAAGCGCGCGUUAGGCGGCUUUGUAAGUUAGAGGUGAAAGCCCGGAGCUCAACUCGGAACUGCCUUUAGACUGCAUCGCUAGAAUUGUGGAGAGGUGAGUGGAAUUACCGAGUGUAGAGGUGAAAUUCGUAGAUGAUUCGGGAAGGAACACCAGUGGGCGAAG